GGCGCGGCCCAGCCGUAAGGGCGGGGCGGGUAGCGGGGUCCCGCCGGUCGCUGCGGUGCUUCCGUCGGAGCCGCGUCCGCUUCCGCCCCGCGCUGCCGCUCUUCUCGCGGCUGGCGGCAGCACCCUUGGACCCCGACCAACGUCUGUCAGCUGCCAAGUAAAGAAGGUAAAGAAGCCUGUCCACACAAAAGACUUAUAGCCAGUAAAGGGAUAUGCUGCCUGGAGCAGAGAGGAGGUCAGGAAAGCCCAGACAAAAGAAAGGAAAGAAAAUGCACGCAUCACACUCCCCGUGCUGUCCUGAUAAGGAAGACAGGAAAACUACAGGCAACUAUCACAGAGAAGGUUGAGAUGAUGCUGGACAAUGCCUCUCUGGAUGUGUGCUGAGCUGAGCUCUUGCUGUGGACUGUAUGGCCCUAAUUGCUGCAGGUUCCCAUUCUUACUGGGGAAUUGGAUAUAAUUAUUAUUUGGGCCACAGAGAUGUUUUCUCAAACCUUUCCCAUUUUUCUGCCUUUUAGUGGUAGAUCUUCUCUUUCUGCCUUUGAAUUUUACAGCGAUUUUCUGAUGUCAUUCAACUACCCAAAUUCCUUGCAGCUCCUGGAGCAGAGAGAAGCUUCUGUGGCCGACAUUCAGUGGGACAAUGAUACUGUGUAUCCCACCUCUUUAAUACAUUUAACUGCUGUUUAUAUCUUGGAGUGUAGACUUAGUUGAUCCUUUUUCAACUGAAACUGGCAGGCUUAAUUCACCUGAAUUACCAAACCAUAAUUUAGAUAGUUGAGUUUUUUAAAAGAAGAAAACAACCAGGCUUUUUUGUCUGUGGACUUUAUUGGUAUUGCUCCUUAAUUGAGCCAGACCUUUAAGUAAUGAUGUGGGCGCCUUCUAGAACAGUGUUCAAUAUAUUUUGCACGCUCUCAUGAGACCCUCAGGCCCAGAUUUUUCCGUUGCUGAAUUAAAUACAGGUCCAAGCUGACGGUGUCCCGUGCAUCUGUUGUUCAUUGUUCUGUUUGUGAUGUUCAUUUCAUCUAAAUGCAAAGUUGGGCUUUUUGGGCAGAUAAUGCCCCUCAAACCACUAGGCUUGUUUUACCCUUGUACUCUACUUUAUGAAGACACGGGUGGGUGAGGACUUUGUCUUGUUGCUGUACUAGGGAAUAGCAUUCAGGAAGUUCCUACAAUAUUCACAUUGAAGUCGAAAUGUUCAAGGGUAUCGGUGUGAUGGUUCUUGGGGAUGAAUCUUACUCCGAGCAGUCUGUAGUGUGGUAGCACAGGACAUGAAAAAGCAGGGUGUGAGGGACAGGGCUGGUAGGAAGAGCGAGGUGUUUCAUGCUGGCAGCUGUGUUUGGUGCUGCUGAUGUUUUCAGAGCCAAAGCAGAUUCAUUUGGUUCUGGUGCAUUGAAACAGAAUCCAAAACUUAGAAAGUAUUUAUUUGUGCUUAAGCUGAAAAAUACUGUUGUGCAGCACUUGUUCCCUUGCACCUGCAGUUCAUUGUGGAAAAGAUUUAUUUUUGUGAACGUACAUUGUCAUGGCUGGUGCAGUGAAAAGCAGAGGAGCUCCUGGUAAGAUCAUCUUGGUGGGAGUGUGAGUGCCAGCCAAAGUGACUGUUUGCAUGAUACAGCUUUCCACUACUGAACUAUAAGCACAUGGCCAAACUUCUGGUCUGGAACACAUUUUUAUAGUUUGAUUGUAAAGUCUUGGAAAACAAGGAUUUAUAAUACAGAUGCUGACAAGCCCUGAAUAUUCAGUGAACAAAAUUCACCAUCAAACACAAAACCAAUUAAUUUUUUUGUGACUAAAUAUUAUACAAGUAUUUGUUUGUAGUGAUUUUAGUAAUUUUAAUUUUUGUGGUUUAACUGUAAUUUGGGGUAAGAUUGUAUAAAUUUUAAGAGUUUACGUUCCAUGUAAAUUUUUUUAUUUACAAUUUAUAGUUUGUAAGGUAUAAGGUUAGUUGUGAAGAGGUAUACUAAAGGCAUGUAGAAAAUGGAUUUUUAGGAUUGGUGACCAAUGAACUCAGUGUAUUUGGAUGUGUGGUUUUAGUUAGUGUUACUUACAUGUUUUGUUUUGGUUGUGGAACUAUUUAUCUUGGGGUUAUUUUAGUCUUCCUAAAAUAAGGUUUGACAGAGUGAGUAGGAAUCUCACGUGAUUUAUUUCUUAUGGAAACAUAAGUAUAACUUUUUCUUUAGCUUAUGAAAUUUCCGGGACUGCUUUCUAUUUACUAAGUCUUGUACUUCAGUAGGGUUUUCUAACUCUGAUUUUGAAAUCAAGAAAAAUGAGAAGACGAAGGAGGUAGAGAAGUUAUCUCCUUAUAGGAGAUUUCUGCCCCUGGCCUGCGACAGCGAAGCAGGGCAGGAGCUUCAAGCCUUCUGGGGGCUGCUCCCCCUUUCCUUUUGCGGUGGAGUCCCUUUCGUGGGGGAUGGACGUGUGGAAAGGGCUGGAAGGGAGUGCUGGGCUGCUGUUCAGGGCAGUUGGACUUGUCCUGUGCCUUCUUUGGGGGUCAGGAAAAGGGGCUGAAGACCCUGGGCUCUGAUGUCAUUUGGGGCACACCCCAAGGUCCCUAGGAGAGGGAGGCACACUGCGGUGGGGGAGCGGGUGGGUGGUGAAUGAGGGGGGUCACGCUGGGUGCCGUCCCACAGAGGGACCCAAAGGUGCCCCAAAAUUCACAGGGAAGGGUGUGUGUAGAAUACUAAAACCUGGCAAAUGUUUCAUUUUUAUAGGUAUUGGUAAAGAAUAGGUAUUUAUUGCUAAAUUCAUUUGGAAAGAAACCCAGAGCAGCCCCAGGUGUGAGCUGUGAGGAUGAUGAGGAAGAGGCAGCUCCUGCCGGGGUGGGGGGUCUGUUUUAGGGCAAGGGUUUGCCGCCGCUGGCUUUUGCACGGAGCUGCAGGAGAAGAGGAGUUUAUGGGGGGCUCCCGGGGCUGUCUCAUGGAAGGACGGCGAGCGCUUCGGGCAGGGUCUGGGGGAUCACCUGGAUACGCACUUGGAUACGUGGAGCACAGCUUGUAAAGGUGCAGGUGGUGAAGUAGUGGCUGCCGCUGCCUAAAAUCUGUCCCCCACAAGCCUCUCUUGUGGAAAAGCAAGUCGAGAUAAUCUUCAGGCAACGCAGUCAGACCCUCACUCAACACCCACCGCAGCUGGCUCAGCGAUAAAGGCAAGAAAGGGUCUUUUUGCAGGGCUUUAUUCCAGCCGAGGAUAUCACAUGCGGCUGAAAGGAACCCAGCGAGGUAAGAAAAAAAGAGACUGACCACGCGGAGGAGACAGCUUGAGAAGGGGAAGGGGUGGCGGGCGGAGCUAAGGGUUGGACAGAGGGGUUUGGUCUCCAGGGAAAGGGGCGUGGCCACCAGGGAUACCAAUCCAGUGAGAGGACAGGGAAAGGAGAAAGCCGGGGAAGUUACAGAGUGGAAGUUGCGGUACAGAAGCCCGAAUGGGAGACUGUCUUUCUCCCCAGGAACUAACUUUACGGUGAGUAGUUACUGCCGUUGCCAGAGCCGAGGACUUGGGAAUUGACUGAGGCGGGAGAGUUCAUGGGAUGCUACAAGCUUGUUGAACCCCUGCGCAGCUGGACGCGCCUCAGCGGAACACACGCGUUAAAGACGAAAAACCGAGGAACUCUCUCUUUCCUUCCGGUCGGUGAGGAGGUGACGGGCCCCGGCCCCCCGUUUCAGCCAGGCCGGUCCGGGCGGUCCUGCUGCGGGCCGGGCCCCUUCCCCCCUCCCCGUGCCGUCCGCCGGCCCGGUUUGGCUCCGGCCGGGCCCCAGCAGCUGCCGGGCGGGAAGGCGGGGGACGCUGCGGAGCCCUGGCCGGAGCAGCGCGAUCUUGCCGUCAGGCCCCCUCCUCCUCAGCGUGGAUGAGAUCAGAGACCCCUGCGGCUCCUGCACAAAACCAAAAUCCUACCACGGAGCCAGUCCUGACAAAGCCCAGUCGCACAUCCUCGCCACAAGUUACCGGCGGGUCGGGAGUGCUUCAUGCGUAAUGUUAACCCUCUCACUACUUCUAUCCGCCCUCGAGUAAGAGAAAAAAGCAAAAUGCAAGCAUGUAAAAGAACAAUAAAAAGGCAUGAAAGUCAGUAAAGAGAAAGUUAAGUCCCAAAGGGAGGGAGGAGGAGAUGUCUUGUUUUUGGAGCUAAAAUCUCUUAUGAGUUAUAAAAAAAGACUCUUUUUCCAUCUAACACAUGAAACUAUAAGGAGAUGAAAGUGUUCAAAUUGAUAUUAAGCAAAAGCCUCCAUGCUAAAAUAAAUGUUAAAAUAACUGUAAUCCCCUAAGAAGUUUAAAUAGAAAAAGAAGGAAAAGUAGUCCUGUGCUUCUCCAAGAAAGAAAAAGAUUUGUUACCAGAGAUAAAAAUAAUUUUAGAGAUAGAUAACAAAAACUUUUGCCUUUAAACAGCACAUCUUUAAAACAAUCCCCCAUAAGUCAACAUUGCCCAUGAACAAGCUGUGGGAAAGCUUGUAAAAAUGAAAAAAAAAAAAUCUUCACUCUAGCAGAAUUCCCUGGACAACUGUUAUUCAUAAUGGAUUUAAGCACCACAAGAAAACUGGCUUUUUCCUCUUGUAAAGAAAUCUCCAUUACCUUAACAACACAACCUUCUCUCCCUAAGUAAACUGAAAAAAAAAACUAUUUUAAAAGUAAUAAACUGACUACAAAUCUUACCUUUAGUUUCUUUAUAUUAUCAGUGGGAAAGAAAAAGUUGUGGGGGAAGAGGAGUGUUCUGAAAGGUUUGUUUUAAUUCUUACCAAUUUUUUUCCCCUCUAGUGCCUUUUAAUAAAAUUUUCUUUAUACCUGUUUAAAGUUUUAAAUCUACUUUACUUUCUACCUAUCUCCCAGCAAGAAGUGAGUGUUUAAGUAAUUAACUAACACCAAAUCUGCCACACCCUGGCACACCUGCACAGGAAGUUGUUACUCCAGAGGCAUUAACGAGGCUCUCCCUACUGUCCUUCUAGGAACCCAGGACCAUCCACCAGGGCCUAGGGAGCAGCCGGAGGCAUGUGUUCACAGAGCAUCUCUUUGAGAAAAUGCCAGGGGAAAAGCCCCCUUACCGAGGGGCAGCACCUGAGCCGGAAGGGCAGAGUGUGGGGUUCCAGGGGAGAGCUUUCCAAUUUCCACUUUUAUCAUAUCAAUUCCUCCCUAGAGCCCUCGGUCCUUCCACAGCACCUCCAGAAAAUAGAAGGGUUAUUAGGGGAAAAAGGGUUUAUGUUGAGGGAAAAAGCUUCCUUUUCCAUUAUUUCUUGUGUUCAAAUUCUGAGGAAAUCCACCUCCCCUGCAACUUUAGUGGUCUCAGUUGAAAGAAUCCUUGCCUUUUCUAUGCUGUUAGAGAGGUGUUAAUUGACAGGGAAUUCCCAUUUUCCAUUAUUUUCCAAUUUAAAUAGAAAGGGAAAACCUUGACAAUGUUUCUUAUGGGUUUGAAUUAAGGGCAACCCUUUUUAUUGUCCUACAGCGUAAAUUGAGAGGGAAGCCCAGCUAUCCCUCUUUCUUAAGGGUUUGGAUUGAGGGGAAAAUCCCUCUGUCUUCAUCACUGGAGAGGCUAAAGUGAGGAAAACCUCUCUUUUCCUAAUAUUCUAGUGGAUUAAAUUAAAGGGUAGAAGCCAUUUACUUACCAUUGUAUCCAUUUCAGUGGAGGUAACUUCCCCAUUUCCUCAUUUUAAAGGAUUCACUUAAAGGAGGCUCUUCUAAAAUGCUUUUUCAGCAUUUUAGGGGUUUAAAACUACUUUCAGGGCACUUCUUUCUGUACCCUAGGACUAAAAAUCUCAGAGAAAGGCAAGCCUAGCAUGUCCUUAAUCUUCAUGCCAUGCAGGAGCCUAUUAUUUUUCUUAUUUUUAUUUAUAAUGUAGCUAGCCCUAAUUAGCAGCCCCAAGGAGACUUAGACUGUUCAUAUAAUUAGUAUAUUAGUAGCAAAAAAGAAAGCGCUGUCAUUUCCCUGAAGAGUUUUCUUCUAUAUCCAGCCUUUUAUUCCCCUUGAAUUCAAAUCCGAGGAGCCAAACACCUAUAGCUGCUCUGAAGGCUUUUAUACCCGGUGGGGUUUGCCCCCUCCCUUUUCCUGGGUGUCAUGGGAAUGAGAGGCGGGCCCAAUCAGGGGUAUAUUAACCCCAGGCUUUGCCAAGGGGCUUCAUUCCCUCUCUGGGAUUAGCUGGGGUAAGUGGUCUCCUCCCGUUUUGGUGAAGAGGCUCUUUCAGCUUAGCUUGUUCUCUUCAGGUGCUUUUGGGCUUCUAAUGCAACAGAGGCUUUGAAGAUACUGUGAAGAAAACUGUGCUGAACACAGGGAGUAUUUAAUUUCAUGAUUUGGAGUUGUGCAUUCAGGGGUGGUGAAGUGCUUUUGUAAUCUCUGAUUUUUUUUUUUUUUUUUUUUUUUUUUAAGGAGGAGUGCAACUUCCUGUACUUCCCGGUUGUGUCGAGUACAACAUUUUUACAGCAGAUUCAUCAUGUCACAGAAGGGAUCUGCCCUGUGUCAAAGAUGGUGUCUGAGAUUGAGGCUUCAGGAGGUCUAGGCAGAUAGCAGCUGUCAAGGCCAAGUCUGCCAGGGAAUCCACUAGGAGUAUGCCAAGCCCCUGUCACCAGCUGGCUGAUGGACCAGGUUUUCUGCACUUAUGAGCCCUCUGGAAGUAUUACAGGACCCUGUGAUGAAGCCUACCAAUUUUGUAUUUCAAGGUCUUCUCCUGGUAGCCCAGACGACUGGCCGAGGAGUUGCAGUGAGUCGGUGAGGUAGGGAGGAGUGAGAGUCCACUCGAGUUUCAGCAAUGCCAUGUAACGUUGUCUCCACUUAACCUAGCUGUACCCUGCAAUGACGGCGUCAGAAUCCAAGCAGACCUGAAGCGUCCAGGCCAAGUACAUGUCCAUUUUGAGGAGAAUGACCAAGAGGCGACAGCUGGAACUUACCAGACAGGUAGACGGCCUUUUUCUGCAGCCAACAGGGAUUUGCAUCCCCAGAUGCAUGCAAGAUAAGUGGAGGGUUAUGACCCACAGAGAGGAUGGAGGUGGGGUGCCAGGUUGGGACUUUCUAGAAGAGGCUUUUGUGUCUGUUUUAGAGAUGGGGAUGUCCAAGAAGCAUCCCCUUAGGUCACCUAAAGGGACAGUGUCUGUUUUGAUCUCUGUGCUGAGGUGCACAGGGCAGAGCAGUUCCGGUGUGUGUCCUGUCACUUGUCUCUGGUGCACUCUGUGUUCUUUGGGUCUCUCGGUCCUUUCUUCUCAUCAAAAGCUCUCUCUCCCUCUCCUGUCCCCUCCUUUGUCACGUCCUGUCCUGUGUCACGGGUAUCUGCACAUAUUUGUCCUGGGGCUGCUCUGCCCUGCUGCAUAGCCUGUAAUAGCACAAGUGCUGGGGACUUGAAAUUUGUAAUGCAGGGUAUAUUUGGGCUCUAGAUUGUAUUAGGAGAUUGCCAUAACAUGUUUGGUACUGUUAAGUUUUCCUGCAGCUGUUUGACCCUAGUCCUAACUUCCUUUCAGAUGCAGACAGUUCAAAUCUGUGGCAGAGGGCACCAGUCCUGGGAAGUCCAGGCAGAUAGCAGCAGUCAAGGCCCAGUGUGCCAGGGAAUCCACUGGGAGUAUGCCAAGCCCCUGUCACCAGCUGGCCGAUGGACCGGGUUUCCUGCGCUUAUGAGCCCUCUGGAACUAUUACAGGACCCUGUGAUGAAGCCUACCGGUUUUGUAUUUCAAGGUCCCCUCCUGGUAGCCCAGAGGAAUGGCCGAGGAGUUGUGGUGUACCCUGUGAUGAAGGUGUCGGCCUCCAAGCACGCCUGAGGUGCGUGGCCCGAGCAUUCUUAGGAAACGACCAAGAGGGAACAGCCUGGUGACAACUGGAAUUUCCCUGACCGGCAGGAGGCCUCCUUCUGCACCUGAUGAGGAUUUGCAUCCCCAGAUAUGUGCAAGAUAAGUCAAGGGUUAUGACCCGCAGAGGGGAUGGAAGAGAGGUGCCAGGUUGGGACUCCGCAGGAGGGGUUUUUGUGUCUGUUUUGGAGAUGGGGAUGUCCAAGAAGCAUCCCCUUAGGCCACCUAAAGGGAAAGUGUCUGUUUUGAUAUCUGUGCUGAGGUGCACAGGGCAGAGCAGUUCCGGUGUGUGUCCUGUCACUUGUCUCUGGUGCACUCUGUGUUCUUUGGGUCGCUCAGUCCUUUCUUCUCAUCUAAAGCUCUCUCUCCCUCUCCUGUCCCCUCCUUUGUCACGUCCUGUCCCGUGUCACGGGUGUCUGCACAUAUUCAUCCCGGUGCUGCUCUGCCCUGCUGCAUAGCCUGAAACAGCACAAGUCCUGGGGACUUGAAAUUUGUAAUGCAGGGUGUAAUUGGGCUCUAGACUGGAUUAAGAGAUUGCCAUAACAUGUUUGGUACUGUUAAGUUUUUCUGCAGCUGUUUGACACUAGUCCUAACUUCCUUUCAGAUGCAGACAGUUCAAAUCUGUGGCAGUGGGCUCCAGUCCUGGGUGAGGAACUUCCAAUGAGCAGGAGGUCUAGGCAGAUAGCAGCUGUCAAGGCCAAGUCUGCCAGGGAAUCCACUAGGAGUAUGCCAAGCCCCUAUCACCAGCUGGCUGAUGGACCAGGUUUCCUGCACUUAUGAGCCCUCUGGAAGUAUUACAGGACCCUGUGAUGAAGCCUACCAAUUUUGUAUUUCAAGGUCUUCUCCUGGUAGCCCAGACGACUGGCCGAGGAGUUGCAGUGAGUCGGUGAGGUAGGGAGGAGUGAGAGUCCACUCGAGUUUCAGCAAUGCCAUGUAACGUUGUCUCCACUUAACCUAGCUGUACCCUGCAAUGACGGCGUCAGAAUCCAAGCAGACCUGAAGCGUCCAGGCCAAGUACAUGUCCAUUUUGAGGAGAAUGACCAAGAGGCGACAGCUGGAACUUACCAGACAGGUAGACGGCCUUUUUCUGCAGCCAACAGGGAUUUGCAUCCCCAGAUGCAUGCAAGAUAAGUGGAGGGUUAUGACCCACAGAGAGGAUGGAGGUGGAGUGCCAGGUUGGGACUUUCUAGAAGAGGCUUUUGUGUCUGUUUUAGAGAUGGGGAUGUCCAAGAAGCAUCCCCUUAGGUCACCUAAAGGGACAGUGUCUGUUUUGAUCUCUGUGCUGAGGUGCACAGGGCAGAGCAGUUCCGGUGUGUGUCCUGUCACUUGUCUCUGGUGCACUCUGUGUUCUUUGGGUCUCUCGGUCCUUUCUUCUCAUCAAAAGCUCUCUCUCCCUCUCCUGUCCCCUCCUUUGUCACGUCCUGUCCUGUGUCACGGGUGUCUACACAUAUUCAUCCCGGAGCUGCUCUGCCCUGCUGCAUAGCCUGUAAUAGCACAAGUGCUGGGGACUUGAAAUUUGUAAUGCAGGGUGUAUUUGGGCUCUAGAUUGUAUUAGGAGAUUGCCAUAACAUGUUUGGUACUGUUAAGUUUUACUGCAGCCUUUUGACACUAGUUCUAACUUCCUUUCAGAUGCAGGCAGUUCAAAUCUGUGGCAGUGGGCUCCAGUCCUGGAUAAGGAACUUCCCAUGAGCAGGAAGUCCAGGCAGAUAGCAGCAGCCAAGGCCCAUUGUGCCAGGGAAUCCACUGGGAGUAUGCCAAGCCCCUGUCACCAGCUGGCCGAUGGACCGGGUUUCCUGCACUUAUGAGCCCUCUGGAAGUAUUACAGGACCCUGUGAUGAAGCCUACCGGUUUUGUAUUUCAAGGUCCCCUCCUGGUAGCCCAGAGGAAUGGCCGAGGAGUUGUGGUGUACCCUGUGAUGAAGGUGUCGGCCUCCAAGCACGCCUGAGGUGCGUGGCCCGAGCAUUCUUAGGAAACGACCAAGAGGGAACAGCCUGGUGACAACUGGAAUUUCCCUGACCGGCAGGAGGCCUCCUUCUGCACCUGAUGAGGAUUUGCAUCCCCAGAUAUGUGCAAGAUAAGUCAAGGGUUACGACCCGCAGAGGGGAUGGAAGAGAGGUGCCAGGUUGGGACUCCGCAGGAGGGGUUUUUGUGUCUGUUUUGGAGAUGGGGAUGUCCAAGAAGCAUCCCCUUAGGCCACCUAAAGGGAAAGUGUCUGUUUUGAUAUCUGUGCUGAGGUGCACAGGGCAGAGCAGUUCCGGUGUGUGUCCUGUCACUUGUCUCUGGUGUUCUUUGGGUCGCUCAGUCCUUUCUUCUCAUCUAAAGCUCUCUCUCCCUCUCCUGUCCCCUCCUUUGUCACGUCCUGUCCCGUGUCACGGGUGUCUGCACAUAUUCAUCCCGGUGCUGCUCUGCCCUGCUGCAUAGCCUGAAACAGCACAAGUCCUGGGGACUUGAAAUUUGUAAUGCAGGGUGUAAUUGGGCUCUAGACUGGAUUAAGAGAUUGCCAUAACAUGUUUGGUACUGUUAAGUUUUUCUGCAGCUGUUUGACACUAGUCCUAACUUCCUUUCAGAUGCAGACAGUUCAAAUCUGUGGCAGUGGGCUCCAGUCCUGGGUGAGGAACUUCCAAUGAGCAGGAGGUCUAGGCAGAUAGCAGCUGUCAAGGCCAAGUCUGCCAGGGAAUCCACUAGGAGUAUGCCAAGCCCCUGUCACCAGCUGGCUGAUGGACCAGGUUUUCUGCACUUAUGAGCCCUCUGGAAGUAUUACAGGACCCUGUGAUGAAGCCUACCAAUUUUGUAUUUCAAGGUCUUCUCCUGGUAGCCCAGACGACUGGCCGAGGAGUUGCAGUGAGUCGGUGAGGUAGGGAGGAGUGAGAGUCCACUCGAGUUUCAGCAAUGCCAUGUAACGUUGUCUCCACUUAACCUAGCUGUACCCUGCAAUGACGGCGUCAGAAUCCAAGCAGACCUGAAGCGUCCAGGCCAAGUACAUGUCCAUUUUGAGGAGAAUGACCAAGAGGCGACAGCUGGAACUUACCAGACAGGUAGACGGCCUUUUUCUGCAGCCAACAGGGAUUUGCAUCCCCAGAUGCAUGCAAGAUAAGUGGAGGGUUAUGACCCACAGAGAGGAUGGAGGUGGGGUGCCAGGUUGGGACUUUCUAGAAGAGGCUUUUGUGUCUGUUUUAGAGAUGGGGAUGUCCAAGAAGCAUCCCCUUAGGUCACCUAAAGGGACAGUGUCUGUUUUGAUCUCUGUGCUGAGGUGCACAGGGCAGAGCAGUUCCGGUGUGUGUCCUGUCACUUGUCUCUGGUGCACUCUGUGUUCUUUGGGUCUCUCGGUCCUUUCUUCUCAUCAAAAGCUCUCUCUCCCUCUCCUGUCCCCUCCUUUGUCACGUCCUGUCCUGUGUCACGGGUGUCUACACAUAUUCAUCCCGGAGCUGCUCUGCCCUGCUGCAUAGCCUGUAAUAGCACAAGUGCUGGGGACUUGAAAUUUGUAAUGCAGGGUGUAUUUGGGCUCUAGAUUGUAUUAGGAGAUUGCCAUAACAUGUUUGGUACUGUUAAGUUUUACUGCAGCCUUUUGACACUAGUUCUAACUUCCUUUCAGAUGCAGGCAGUUCAAAUCUGUGGCAGUGGGCUCCAGUCCUGGAUAAGGAACUUCCCAUGAGCAGGUCAUUGUUUGCAUUUGCAGGGAAAGCCUUAAUGGUGACUGUGUUACAGUGGUGUUCUUUGCCUUUAUUUUUAGGAAGUCCAGGCAGAUAGCAGCAGCCAAGGCCCAUUGUGCCAGGGAAUCCACUGGGAGUAUGCCAAGCCCCUGUCACCAGCUGGCCGAUGGACCGGGUUUUCUGCACUUAUGAGCCCUCUGGAAGUAUUACAGGACCCUGUGAUGAAGCCUACCGAUUUUGUAUUUCAAGGUCUUCUCCUGGUAGCCCAGAGGAAUGGCCGAGGAGUUGUGGUGUACCCUGUGUUGAAGGCGUCGUCCUCCAAGCACGCCUGAGGUGCGUGGCCCGAGCAUUCUUAGGAAACGACCAAGAGGGAACAGCCUGGUGACAACUGGAAUUUCCCUGACCGGCAGGAGGCCUCCUUCUGCACCUGAUGAGGAUUUGCAUCCCCAGAUAUGUGCAAGAUAAGUCGAGGGUUGUGACCCACAGAGGGGAAGGAAGAGAGGUGCCAGGUUGGGACUCCGCAGGAGGGGUUUUUGAGUCAAUUUUGGAGAUGGGGAUGUCCAAGAAGCAUCCCCUUAGGCCACCUAAAGGGAAAGUGUCUGUUUUGGUCUCUGUGCUGAGGUGCACAGGGCAGAGCAGUUCUGGUGUGUGUCCUGUCACUUGUCUAUGGUGCACUCUGUUUUCUUUGGGUGUCUUGGUCUUUGCAGACAUUCCUCUCGUCAAAUGUUCUCUCUCCCUGUCCUGUCCUUUUGUUUUUCCUGUCCUGUCCUGUGUCACGGGUGUCUGCGCUUAUUUGUCCCUCAGCUGCUCUGUCCUGCUGCGUAGCCUUGUGUAAUUGCACCAAUCCCAGAGAUUUGCAAUUUUGCGUGGGGCAUGUAGUUGCAUUCAAGAUAGUAUUCCUAAAUUCACACUAGAUGUUUUGACCUGUUAAGUUAUCCUACAGCUGUUUGAAUUUUCUCCCAACUUUCUUUCAGAUGCAGAUGCAUUAACUCUGUGGCGGUGUGCCCUGCUCCGGUCAGGGGGCUUCCCUGAGAAGGUCAGUCAUGGUUUGUGUUUGCAGAAGAAGCCUACAUCGUGACUGUGUUACAGCGCUUGUCUUUGUGUUUAAUUUUAGGAAGUCCAGGUGGCUAGGAGCAGUCAAGGCCCAGUGUGCCAGGCAGUCCUCUUGCAAGAUGUCUCUGGUCUGGAUGUCUGAAGCCAGGUGCUGUCAUUGCUCUAGGUGUGUGAAGGAACAGAGGCAAGCGGGUGUCCUCCAAGCAGCCUGUGGAGUCAAAUCGAGUUUUCUGGUACCCCGAGGAGGUGCGUAGCUGAAGUUUGGAACUGGCAGCACUGAAGCAGAUGUAGAGAACAUCUCCCCGUCCGCAUCCAACUGACAUUGGAUUCUGUCCUGUCGUCUUGCAAAAGCUAAGUGCUGGGACCAGUUGGUGGGAGAUGGGGGAAAAACCUUUACUAUCACAGGAGGCAAUUUGAUGUUAACUUAGAGGAGAGGCCCAUAGUGGAACGGGCCCCUUGGGGGCAAAGGGAGAGGGUUUCUCCUCAGCCUCACCGGAGUCUUUGCCGGCCAGGGCAGUUCCGAUCCGUCUCCGCAUUCUCAUGAGGUUCGCAUCAGCGGCCUUCUACGACUCUUGAUGUCAUCGUGGAUAUUUUCACUUGAGGAGCCUGCCUGCAUGUCUGGAGCUAUAGCCAUGGUCACCCCGUAGUCAUUGCUUCCUUCUCUGGACUUACUGAGCUGUUUAGGCUUCCUCUUAAGUGCUUUGGCACUAACAUCUUGAGAGGAGUUACCUUUCACCAUCAUGUGGUAUUGCCCUAGUUCUUUCUUUCCUUUGGCUUCAUCAGCCCAUGGCUCAUCUUGGGUUAGGAAUCUUGGGGUCCAUAAGGUGGAACUGCCAGGCAGUUUCCACUUGUGUCCGUAUCAUGGUGUCUGUGUCCAGUGUCAUCUUUUCCGUGUCCACUGAUUUCUGUGUCGUAGGCCUUUGUUACAUCUCCAUGCUUUAGCAGCAUCAUUCUGUGCUGUAUUGGCUGUAUUUUACUCACGUACCUUCCUGGAUAUCACUUAUUCUGGCAUAUUUACAUUUUUACUUUUUGGGACAGGAAGAUGUACAUGAGAUGUUCUCAUCCAUCUUUCUUCUCACCUUUGGUAGCCUUCUCUUCCCAUGCCAUUCUCUUGGACUUCUAUAUGGAGCAUAUUAGACACUCAUCAUGUGACCGCAGUAAUUCUGUAGAUUCCGCCUUCUCAAAGGGUAUAGGGUCAAGAAUUAAUCUUCUGGAGAGUUAUGUCAAGUCCUCACUUAUAUUGUAUCUCUGUUGGCUUAUAUUAUAUGUGCUUAUGUUGUGCCUACCUAUGUUGGCUUAUAAUGUGUGCACUUAUAUUGUAUGUACCUACCUUGGCUUAUGUUGUACGAGCCUCUGUUGUGCCAAUUACGAUCGGAGCUGCCCUGUCCUGGCACGUAGUGACGCUUAGGUAGAGCAGUUGCAAAAAUUCGCAGUUCAUCUGUCUUGUAUGGGGUUUUGGGUACAACACUGACGGGCCCAGAGUGGGAAUAGCUCCUAGCUGUCAGAUAGUCAGUCAUUGACUGCCUCCCAUUGUCUUGUAGGUCUCCGGGUCCCUACAGAAUUUCCUGGAAUCUACCAUUUGACGUCGAGGAGCGGCAGUCAGAAGAUGUGUCGAAGCAUAUUCUUCAGCGUAGUGUUUCACAUAAGGGUGGCAUUCAGCGUGUCAGCAAAAGUGUGAUUGUCUGUAUCUGUUUGUGAGAAGUUUGUGUGUGCUCCUGUCUGCAGGUCUGAGCGUAUGCUGACCGGUGUUAACCCUGUGUGUAUGGCCUUUGCCUUUCAGGUUUUUCAACUCAUUUUUGAAUUUAGAAUAAAAAAUCCCCAGCUGGGUUUUUUUUCCCCCCCCGCCACCCCCUGGCUGGGUUUUUUUCCUCUGUCCUGGCCAGUCCACGAGGUGACAUUCAUCACUAAGGUUGGGCCACAGACCAUCCCCAGACCAGGGUUUUUGUCAAGGAGGAUUUUUUGGAGGCUCCCGGGAGCCACGUUCCCGAGGAACAAUGAUUUCUGGGGUGUAACGGAGCAGUUGAGAUGAGAGCGAUGGUGAGUUUGUGUGUAACAUGAAGGAGGUGCUCGUGGUGGAUGAGUGUUGUUUUGUGUGUGUAAUCUUUGUUUUGUGUUUCCUCUAACAAUAAAACAAAAUGUAAUUAAAAUAGAAAAAAGGAUCAUGUUGUGUUGAUAUGUGUUUGGUUUCUAUUGCCCUGUGUUGUUCUGUAUUUGCCAUUGCUGCUGCAUUUCCAUGUAUUGCUCUGUAUCUAUGCAUGUCUAUGGAUUGUAUCUGUACUUGUAUUUGUAUCCAUUGUUUCCAUGUGUUUUGCUGAAGUGUAAAUAAAAAAAUUCAUUCAGUAAAGUUGAAUCAACCCUAGUAAUGAUGCCCCUGCUCCCUCACCUUCCAGCUUUGGCUCCUGUCUUUCUUUGAUGUGGUUCAGUAAUUUUUUUUUCACUGUAUUUCUUCCUUUGCUUCUCAUCUUUCUUUUCUAUUUCUGACUUAAUUUCUGUCUGUCCCUAACUCUGUGUUUCUAUUUCUCACUGUUUCUAACUCUGUCUCUCUGCUUCUCUAUUUCCUGCUUUUUUUUUCUUUCUUCCUCUGUUUCCAACUAUUUAUUUUUCUCUCUAUAGUUUAUACUUUACUAUUUCUUUUUCUCUCUAGCUUUAACUUUUUUUUUCUCUUUUUUACUCUCACUUUCUUUUUCACCCUAACCCUGCUCAUUUUUCACUCUUUUUGUUUUCACUGUUUGCCUCUGUUUUCGUAGUUCUUUUUUUUUCAGUCUCUCUUUUUCUCUCCAACUUCAACUUUUUUUAACCCUUUGUUUCUCUCUAUUUCUACCUUUAUUUCUAACUCUGCUUUCCUUUCCAGCUUUAAAAAAAAAAGCAGUAAAAACUUUCAGGCUCCCUGGGAGUAAAAAAAAACCAAAAACAACCAAACCUUUAAAUAAUUAUCUAAAGAAAAUUAUUUAAUUGCUGGGAGCCUGAAAUUUUCUACUGCUGCACCAGACAUAUUGUUUUUCUUCUUUUUCCUAAUAGAUAUAGGGCCCCUAAUUAGCGAUCCAGCUGGCAGGUAGCAGUAGCAAUACACAGCAACCAGUACUCCCAUCAACCCCACCAGACGAAUAAUGAUACAACCAAGAGUUCAUCAUGUUGAAACAUAAAUUUUAAGGGAUUUAGAGGAGCUAAGAUUUUAGUUAAAGACAAGCCUUACUAGAGUUAAUUAAAAUAAAUGAGUAGGCCUUGAUAAAGUUAAGAGUGAGUAGUUAACUAGUAAUUGAUUGCCUGUCAGCACAAUGUUUAGUUAGCUGUGUUUAUAAUGAAGAAUAUAGAAACGGAUAAAUAGAUUUUAGGAGCAUAAGACAAUUGUGGGCCUCCUCUGUUCUGAAAUCAACUGAAGACAAGGAAUGGGAGUUCUACUAAGAGUUCAUUUGUCAUAUUUGCAUUGAAACGGUAGAAAGGCCAGAAUGAGGAAGACUUCAUUUACUUCCACAUUUUGGGACUCAUCCCCAUGAAAGAGACCACUGACCCAUUUCAGGGAACAAACUUCAUGCUUAAUAGCUUUUGAAAUGAUUAGCAUAUGAAGCAAGGAAUGGGAUGUACCAAAAUGAAUAGGUAUUUGUAUUUUCGGUAUUCAGUACUUGUAUGGAUAAAAGGGCUCUUUAAUCACUUGGAAAGUGCGGUGUGUAUUUGGGAACUAUCCCACAUGCUGCUGGGUGUCGAAUAAACAUACACUUUCUAACUUCAAA